rnacentral:rRNA from 1 species
CCUACGGGGGGCUGCAGUGGGGAAUAUUGGACAAUGGGCGCAAGCCUGAUCCAGCCACGCCGCGUGAGUGAUGAAGGCCUUCGGGUCGUAAAGCUCUGUGGGGAGGGACGAACGGCGCCAUGAAGAGUGGCGAUUGACGGUACCUCCUUAGCAAGCACCGGCUAACUUCGUGCCAGCAGCCGCGGUAAUACGAAGGGUGCAAACGUUGCUCGGAAUCAUUGGGCGUAAAGCGCACGUAGGCGGCUUCAUAAGUCGGAUGUGAAAUCCCUCGGCUUAACCGAGGACGUGCAUCCGAAACUGUGAGGCUUGAGUAUGGAAGAGGGUCGCAGAAUUCCCGGUGUAGAGGUGAAAUUCGUAGAUAUCGGGAGGAAUACCAGUGGCGAAGGCGGCGACCUGGGCCAAUACUGACGCUGAGGUGCGAAAGCGUGGGGAGCAAACAGGAUUAGAUACCCGUGUAGUC